UAAACCAUAUGCCUCCGAGAGAUCACUUAACUUCUUUCACCCCAGCCUACUGCUCAUGUUAAAUGUUAGUUCCGCGUUCCAUCGUAUGAUAUUUAGUGUGUCACAAUGUGUCUUGUACAAAAAUCUAUUGCUAGCCUAUUGUCUGCGUUUGAUUCCAUGCUGGUCUUUAUAUAUGGUGUAGAAAUUCGCUCCUUUAGCUGAUUCAAGAUUUGGUAUGCGACUGUAGCAACACAUUUUCUAUUUUAUAACACACUUUGCAUCGUAACUUUGACUAGUAAAGAAUUGUUAGAGGUUGUGUUGCUAUAUAACAGGAGGGAAGCCAUCAUUGUCUUGAAUUGAAUCUUGAGUAUCUUAUUAGUCCUGUUUUUGUUAAACAAAAAAAGUUGUUGCUUUCUUUCAGCACAGGUUUUCUCUUCAAAAGGUUUUGGCCUAUAUAAUUUAGAAAAUAAGAACUGAGUGCUACUGUCCAAGAAAGACAUCCCAUUCGUCCUUCACGUUGAAGCAGUACCACUUAAUUGAUUAACAAUGUAAGCGAACCAAACAGACACCAAGGGUUAAUUAGCCCGCCGAAACUCAAGAAUGAUUAUUUGCAAUGCAUGUUUCCACCUAGAAUCCCGUCUUUUCUUUCAAGAAAUGCUGUUUCUUCCUUUUGAUCAUAUGCAUGGUGGUUGGAUUAGCCACUCUUUUUUGUGAUCCUCAUCAUUAGACCCCUCAAGCCUGUUUUCUCUGUUCGGGAGGUUAAUAUAAACUUUUACAAGAUUGAUGAUCGUUCAAAUCUAACUCUGCUGGUUUCAUCUGUAAUCUCCUUAACCCUCAAUGCAGAAAAUCAUAAUAAGUUUGGCAUAGGUUUUAGUUGAUCAAGGUUUCUUGUUUAUCAUGAAGGUUUGCAUAUAGGAACUAUUAGAAUUACUUGGUUUUUUCAACCUCCUCACAGUGAAAAUGUGAGUGUACCAUCCCGUGUCUUAUUGCAAAGUGUCAAUCUCACCAAAAUCGUCGCCAACACAUCGUUACAAGAAAUAUCAUAGCAAAACAUGGCACGGAUGAACAUCAUAGGGGGAUGUUAGAGCCCACGUGUGGGUACUUCAUAUAAAACUUUUUGUAGUUAAGAAAUGAAGUUUUCGGUGCCGAAAUCAGUAAGAGUGACCUGGCUUCUGUUCUCAGUAAAUCCAGAUCCAUCUCUUUGAAUUGCGCUUCAUCUGUCUAUAUAUAAUCCCAUUGCCAGGCCCCUCUGUCAAAUCCACCUCAAUGUGAAUGUGUAAAGUUAAACAACUCUCAUCACUUUGUGCUUUUGCCUUUCGGCUUACUUGUUUUUUCUAGAUUUUUGCCUUUUCAUGUGGCUGUGACUGAGUCACAUUUAAGUUGAAACUUUGUAAUGUUGAAUUUUCUUACAAAUCUAAAAAGUGAUGCGCAGAAUGACUCUGUCUAUAUUCGAAAAUCAAGGCUUUUAGACUUGAAAGAUAAUCUGCAUCGGUCAAGCUUUAUUUGCACAAUUCAUUCCCAUGCUAUUUGUCUCUCUGUAUGGUGUCAUGGCCUACAUACUUUUGAGCGAAAUUAAGAAAGUGAAACGUUGAAAGAUGACAGUAAUGUUGAUUACACCAAACAAACAUAUAACACACAAACGACUGAAACGCUUGUCAGUAACUCAAUUGUCAUUAUUCAAGAAAAGAGGAGCAUCUUGACCACCGUAUCACUUAUUUAACUGACAUCUAAAGCUUUUCGAUUACAAACAGCUAGCUAUAAGAGUCUUGCAUGGCCUCACAGUUCUCUUUUAUUUAUCAAUGUGAUGUGAUAUGUGUUUAGGGAGGAAGCAGAUACUCUGGCUGGCCUUUAUGGCAAGUCCGAAAUCCAGUUUCUGCCUCCUGGUUCUUUUUGUAAGCCCAACUUGCUGCCUUGGUGAAAUAUGCCAGCCGAAAAAACCCGCC